rnacentral:rRNA from 1 species
UACGUAGGUGGCAAGCGUUGUCCGGAUUUACUGGGUGUAAAGGGCGUGUAGCCGGGUUGACAAGUCAGAUGUGAAAUCCUGCGGCUUAACCGCAGAACUGCAUUUGAAACUGUUGAUCUUGAGUACUGGAGAGGCAGACGGAAUUCCUAGUGUAGCGGUGAAAUGCGUAGAUAUUAGGGGGAACACCAGUGGCGAAGGCGGUCUGCUGGACAGCAACUGACGGUGAGGCGCGAAAGCGUGGGGAGCAAACAGG